AGUGAACGCUGGCGGUAGGCCUAACACAUGCAAGUCGAACGGCAGCACAGUAAGAGCUUGCUCUUACGGGUGGCGAGUGGCGGACGGGUGAGGAAUACAUCGGAAUCUACUUUUUCGUGGGGGAUAACGUAGGGAAACUUACGCUAAUACCGCAUACGACCUACGGGUGAAAGCAGGGGAUCUUCGGACCUUGCGCGAUUGAAUGAGCCGAUGUCGGAUUAGCUAGUUGGCGGGGUAAAGGCCCACCAAGGCGACGAUCCGUAGCUGGUCUGAGAGGAUGAUCAGCCACACUGGAACUGAGGCACGGUCCAGACUCCUACGGGAGGCAGCAGUGGGGAAUAUUGGACAAUGGGCGCAAGCCUGAUCCAGCCAUAUCGCGUGGGUGAAGAAGGCCUUCGGGUUGUAAAGCCCUUUUGUUGGGAAAGAAAAGCAGCAGGUUAAUACCCCGCUGUUCUGACGGUACCCAAAGAAUAAGCACCGGCUAACUUCGUG
rnacentral:rRNA from 1 species